CAGUCGCCGCGGUAAUACGUAGGGUGCGAGCGUUAAUCGGAAUUACUGGGCGUAAAGCGUGCGCAGGCGGUUGUGUAAGACAGGUGUGAAAUCCCCGGGCUUAACCUGGGAACUGCGCUUGUGACUGCACAGCUAGAGUAUGGCAGAGGGGGGUGGAAUUCCACGUGUAGCAGUGAAAUGCGUAGAGAUGUGGAGGAACACCGAUGGCGAAGGCAGCCCCCUGGGCCAAUACUGACGCUCAUGCACUAAAGUGUGGGGAGCAAACAGGAUUAGAUACCCCCGUAGUCCCUGUCUCUUAUAC
rnacentral:rRNA from 1 species